rnacentral:lncRNA from 1 species
CAACCCUCCGGAACGAAUCCUCACGCGAGACGACGGGCGGCGGUGCGAGCUAGCGGCGCGUGAGGCGACGAGACGGCGGUGCGAGGUGGCGGCACGGCACAGCCCAGACGGCGACCCUCUCCGCCACCUUCUCACCGGUAAGGCGCCGUCCUAUCUUCCUUCCCCUCUCCUGUCCUCGUAUUCUUGUUCUUGAUGUUGCCGAGUUGAGAUCCGUAGCGAGUUCUUGAUGGCCGCGCUU